rnacentral:rRNA from 1 species
ACUCCUACGGGAGGCAGCAGUGGGAAUAUUGGACAAUGGGCGAAAGCCUGAUCCAGCCAUGCCGCGUGUGUGAAGAAGGCCCUCGGGUUGUAAAGCACUUUCAGCGAGGAAGAACGCCUAGUGGUUAAUACCCAUUAGGAAAGACAUCACCCGCAGAAGAAGACACCGGCUAACGUCCGUAGCCAGCCAGCCGCCGGGUAAUACGGAGGGUGCAAGCGUUAAUCGGAAUUACUGGGCGUAAAGCGCGCGUAGGUGGCUUGAUAAGCCGGUUGUGAAAGCCCCGGGCUCAACCUGGGAACGGCAUCCGGAACUGUCAAGCUAGAGUGCAGGAGAGGAAGGUAGAAUUCCCGGUGUAGCGGUGAAAUGCGUAGAGAUCGGGAGGAAUACCAGUGGCGAAGGCGGCCUUCUGGACUGACACUGACACUGAGGUGCGAAAGCGUGGGUAGCAAACAGGAUUAGAUACCCUGGUAGGCUCUG